AAGUCCCUUUAAUAUACUCUUUUGUAUACAAACAGAACAAAAAUACUUAGUUACAAUGGGAAAUGGACAUAAUAUAUAUAAAAGUGUCUGAUAAAAGUAUAGGUCUUGUUCAUGAACAGAAGAAAUUGACAGAAAAAUAUUCUGUUUUAGCCAUGAAAUACAAAUAUUAAUAUUUUUUAAGAAUAUUAUUUAAUCUAAAUAAGUUAUAAAAGUUUUUUUCCUUUAUUCCAAUGUUUGGAAACAAAUCCAAUAUAUAAUUAAAAUUGCUGUACAGUAUAUCCUAUUGAUUCCUAUAAUAUAUCACUUUAGUUUCUUGAACAGCAUGUUUAUUACUUUUUUUCUUAAAAUGAUGUAUACAACGUCAUUAAUUUAUUUUCAUUAUAUUCAACUAGAUACAAAUAGGCCUUCUGCAACCUUUUCAUUGUUUAAAUGGUAUGGAGUUUUAAUUACCUUUCAUAUGAAAAAUGACAUCUAAAUCUUAAAUUGCUGUACAUCAUAUCCUAUCCAUCUAAUGUAUCACUUUAUUUAUGUUGAACUUCGUGUCUAUUAGUAUUAUGAUUUUUUUAGAAUGAUAUAUGCAAUUUCAUUAAUUUAUUUUUCAUUUUAAGAAAAUUCAUUUUAAAAAGAUCUCUU
rnacentral:sRNA from 1 species